rnacentral:lncRNA from 1 species
CUUCCUACCAGUUCUCUCAACCAAGACCAUAGUGAAGCAUGUCUCUCUUCUGGGAUGGGGAACACCAUUGGGCUGUGCUUGGUGAUGGUCCAAGUAACUUGAGAAGAGAGAAGACUUCACAUAAAUAUAUUUUAUCUCAGAAGGAUGUUCCAGACGGAUUAAAAGAGCUGUCUGAUGGCUCAGAAGAGAGCAGUGAUGCACAGUCAGACUCUCAAAGCUCACAGAACAGCAGCAGCAGUAGCAGUAGCAGUGAUGGUGGCAGUAACAAAGAAAGGAAGAAAAGCAGAUGGAAAAGGAAAGCAAAGUCUGAGAAAUCAUUGGAGUCCAGUGCUGCUGGUGAUAUCACAAGCAAUUCCUGUUUCCACUGUCAAGGGCAGCUACAAUGGCUCAAUGAAGGUAA